rnacentral:rRNA from 1 species
UGCGAGCGUUGUCCGGAAUUACUGGGCGUAAAGAGCUCGUAGGUGGUUUGUCGCGUCGUCUGUGAAAUUCCGGGGCUUAACUCCGGGCGUGCAGGCGAUACGGGCAAACUGGAGUGCUGUAGGGGAGACUGGAAUUCCUGGUGUAGCGGUGGAAUGCGCAGAUAUCAGGAGGAACACCGAUGGCGAAGGCAGGUCUCUGGGCAGUUACUGACACUGAGGAGCGAAAGCAUGGGUAGCGAACAGGAUUAGAUACCCUGGUAGUCCAUGCCGUAAACGGUGGGCGCUAGGUGUGGGGAUUUUUCACGAUUUCCGUGCCGUAGCUAACGCAUUAAGCGCCCCGCCUGGGGAGUACGGCCGCAAGGCUAAAACUCAAAGGAAUUGACGGGGGCCCGCACAAGCGGCGGAGCAUGUGGAUUAAUUCGAUGCAACGCGAAGAACCUUACCUGGGCUUGACAUACACCGGAUCGCUGCAGAGAUGUAGUUUCCCUUCGGGGCUGGUGUACAGGUGGUGCAUGGUUGUCGUCAGCUCGUGUCGUGAGAUGU